ensembl:lncRNA
CUGUAUUGCCUCUUGUAUAUUUUUUUUUUUUCUCUUCAGUGAUGGUGGCAGUAACCAUGUCUUUUAAUUUGUCGAUUUUCAUAGCCUAUGGAACGUAUUAAAGUGACUGUUUGUCUAGAAAUGUGGACAUGUAUCCACACAUAGACACUGCAUUUUACAGAUACUUUAAAAGUAAAGUGAAGCUAUAUAUGGACGGAUCCGUACUAUUUCUUUGACCUACUGAAUGCACAGUCUAAAACCAUUUUUCUCCCACUGCCAUGGAUAUUGUGUUCUAUAUACAGCUCUCUGUUCUCUGAUAUGUAUUGUAACACAGUGUGUUGGUUAGCAUUGGGCUGAUGAUGGAAGGGUAGGGGUUAAUGAAUGAUUGCAGCUGACUUCCAUACCUCACACAGCGUUGGUGUUGAGUGAGUGAGCGACCUCAUGAAAGAAAAAGGCAAAUUAAUAAACCCUCAAGGAUCAAACUGUCAAACUAUUCAGGGGACGCUGGGAAAUCUGGAGGAGGAAGAUCUGAAGACCACCUGUCGCUCCACCCUGAACCUGUCUCUGCGCUGCUUAAAACAAGGUGAACCACAGAUGUAGUGGCUUAUUAAAACAACUGUGACAUCUAAAUCACAACAAAAGACACGUGUGUAAAGGUGCCCUCUGUUGUCCUCCUGUUGUUUUUUUUGGAAGAUCACAUUUUUAGCGCAGGACCAGACAUUCUUCAUUCAGUUUUCCGUUGUAUUUCUUUCCUUCAUCGUUUCUGAUAUAAAGGACCUUGUCUAGUAGCUGCUGAGGUAGAAUGGUACAUUAAGGCUUUUAUCUAUGUUCUGUUUCUCAUGCAGUUUUUAUGACAAAUAAAAACCGUGCUUGUUUUGGUUUGUAAUGUCAGGUUUCCACUCUUUCACGGUUUGACUUUUUUUGGGAAAUCAGUUUGGGAAGUGUUUGUACAAUGUUAGUCAGGAGCAUCUCUUUCUCUCCUCUCUCCUUCCCACCCACCAGAUCUCACACCCACUGACUGAUCUCUCUAGCCCCUUACUGUAAAAUAUAGUGAGAUUGAAUUGAUCUUUUUUUGUUCUGAUUUUUAAACCUGUUCAUCUUGAUCAAUAAAAAGAGAGCUUGAAU